UACGUAGGGUGCGAGCGUUAAUCAGAAUUACUGGGCGUAAAGCGUGCGCAGGCGGUUUUGUAAGCCAGAUGUGAAAUCCCCGGGCUUAACCUGGGAAUGGCAUUUGGGACUGCAAGGCUGGAGUGCGGCAGAGGAGACUGGAAUUCCUGGUGUAGCAGUGAAAUGCGUAGAUAUCAGGAGGAAUACCGAUGGCGAAGGCGACUUCUUGGCCUGUUCUUGACGCUGAGGCGCGAAAGCUGGGGGAGCAAACGGG
rnacentral:rRNA from 1 species